rnacentral:rRNA from 1 species
UCAGGACGAACGCUGGCGGCGUGCCUAAUACAUGCAAGUCGAACGGUCUUUCUAUGGAAGCUUGCUCCACUGAGAAGAUAGUGGCGAACGGGUGAGUAACACGUGGGUAACCUGCCCAUAAGAGGGGGGAUAACAUCCGGAAACGGGUGCUAAUACCGCAUAGUUUUCUUGGUCGCAUGAUCGGGAAAGGAAAGACGGCCUUUGUGCUGUCGCUUAUGGAUGGACCCGCGGCGUAUUAGUUAGUUGGUGAGGUAACGGCUCACCAAGACGAUGAUACGUAGCCGACCUGAGAGGGUGAUCGGCCACAUUGGGACUGAGACACGGCCCAAACUCCUACGGGAGGCAGCAGUAGGGAAUCUUCCGCAAUGGACGAAAGUCUGACGGAGCAACGCCGCGUGAGUGAAAGAAGGUUUUCGGAUCGUAAAACUCUGUUGUCAGAGAAGAACAAGUUGGAGAGUAACUGCUCCAGCCUUGACGGUAUCUGACCAGAAAGCCACGGCUAACUACGUGCCAGCCGCCGC